GGAAUCCAUAAAGUAAAAGAAAUAAAAUCUUUAUUUUUGUACAUUAUUAAAUGAGUCUACUGCCCUAAUUCUCAACCAGUAUUAUGAGCUGUACAGACAGGGUGGAUACACUUACUGUAGGGAGAUCAGACUACUUCUCUGCCUGGCCCAACUCCACAUGACUAUAGCGGAGUGUGGGGUCAGCACCUCAAACAGAUGUAGAGUAUUCUUUGUUCCCUCAAUUCCCUGGUUCUCAGGGAAUUAUUAAAGUGCUGUCCGUGUGUUAAUAUGGCAAUGCUCACUGGACCACUAUGGAUAACACCUGUAGGGUUAUUCACUAAAGUGAGAAUUUAGAGUGAAUUUGAAACAUCCAUAUUUUGUUUUGUUUUCCUCUUCUGUUUGUUUUAGUCCACACUAAAAGUAGAAAGCUUCAACACACACUCUUUGGUGGAGAGGCAGUAGGAAAUGCUGGUUAGAAUUAAAACUGAAACAGACUGAAAGAGAAGUAGCGGGGCC